rnacentral:rRNA from 1 species
UACGUAGGGACCAAGCGUUGUCCGGAAUCAUUGGGCGUAAAGAGCUCGUAGGCGGUUCGUCGCGUCGGCUGUGAAAUCCCGAGGCUCAACCUCGGGUCUGCAGUCGAUACGGGCGGACUGGAGUACUGCAGGGGAGACUGGAAUUCCUGGUGUAGCGGUGAAAUGCGCAGAUAUCAGGAGGAACACCGGUGGCGAAGGCGGGUCUCUGGGCAGUUACUGACGCUGAGGAGCGAAAGCGUGGGGAGCGAACAGG